rnacentral:ncRNA from 1 species
GACAACUCUCCCUAAGGAAGUCGGCAAAAUAGCCCUGUAACUUCGAGCGAAGGGGUGCCUCUUCACAAAGGGGGGUCCCAGUGACAUGCCCAAGCGACUGUUUACCAAAAACACAGUUCUCCGCAAAAUUGUAAGACCAUGUAUAGGGGGCGCAUAAAAGUUGAAAUAAGCAUGUCUAUGGGGAGUGGC